GACGAACGCUGGCGGCGUGCUUAACACAUGCAAGUCGAACGGAAAGGCCCUGCUUUUGUGGGGUGCUCGAGUGGCGAACGGGUGAGUAACACGUGAGUAACCUGCCCUUGACUUUGGGAUAACUUCAGGAAACUGGGGCUAAUACCGGAUAGGAGCUCCUGCUGCAUGGUGGGGGUUGGAAAGUUUCGGCGGUUGGGGAUGGACUCGCGGCUUAUCAGCUUGUUGGUGGGGUAGUGGCAUACCAAGGCUUUGACGGGUAGCCGGCCUGAGAGGGUGACCGGCCACAUUGGGACUGAGAUACGGCCCAGACUCCUACGGGAGGCAUCAGUGGGGAAUAGUGCACAAUGGGCGGAAGCCUGAUGCAGCAACGCCGCGUGCGGGAUGACGGCCUUCGGGUUGUAAACCGCUUUCGCCUGUGACGAAGCGUGAGUGACGGUAAUGGGUAAAGAAGCACCGGCUAACUACGUG
rnacentral:rRNA from 1 species